rnacentral:lncRNA from 1 species
AAUGAAUGAACAAAUGAAAGAUAAUCUUUUCUGCAGAGGACAUCUGAAAGGCACCAGGUUGCCAGAGCUGGACGGGAUCCCGUGACUUGCAGCCAGCGCUUCCUGCUCCAGCCCAUUGAACAACAUCAAUUUGUCUCCCUUCUCAGUCAGGACAGUGUCCUUGGGGCAAGGAUGCUGCCAGGUUAGAAGGUGUUUACCCUUCUGCCCACCCCCCACCUCCCGUCUGGUUGCAGCCCAGCUGCCUCAUUUCCUCACCUCCUCAGAGUGGACUUCCCUGAGCACCCUAGUAAGAGUGAAUUUGGCUACAAGUAAUGCUGCAGUGGCUGGUUCCUGGCAGUGGCUCCAAUCUCUUUGGGCUUGUUUCCCAUGGAUGUGGAGGUAGGUGGCUGCUAGUAUUAAUUUAGUUGCUCAGACUCUCAAGAACCCAGAAAUGCUUCCUCUUCUUUUUGGUCAUAUCCAACUCCUUAUGUUUUAAUUCUAAUGCUUAUACUUUUACUGUUGCAAAAUUGAUGCCUCAGCUCCAAAUACUGUCUUUACUCAACACUCCAAUAAGCAGGAAGUAAUAGGAUAGAGAAAAGGGCUUUUUCCUCAUGCAGAUC